rnacentral:lncRNA from 1 species
AGGGGACUUGAGAUACUGUUGCAGGAGUGCCUUGACGUCAGGAUUGUACGCUUCGAUUCUAAGUCCUGAGGGGGCGCAAAACAAAACAUGAGUGGACCAAGUUGAUAUACAAGUAAUACUAAAACAGUUAUUCAUCAACGUACUAACCCCCAAAGUUUAGAAAACUCAUAUAGCAUAAUAAGUAAUAGGUUUCCCGAAAACCUUAGCAUGCCAUAAAACCUUCAUAAAACAUAUAUCAUAUAUAAUGUGCUUAGUAGUGGUAUCACAAAGGCAUAUAUAAAUCUUCAUUCGCCGGAAGGCCUUUCAUCACCCGCCUGUAGGCAUAUAUAUAUAAAUCUUCAUUCGCCCGAAAGCCCUUCAUCACUCGACCGAAGCCAUAUAUAAGUAUCAUUUGCCCGUAGGCAUAUAUAAGCAUAGAAAAUCAUAAACAUAAUAUUUCUAAAAUAUAUCUCAUCGAAGCUCAAUAGCUCAAACAUCAUAUCAUAAAUCAUAGAAGCGAUCUAGCUUAAAUCAUCAUCAUAAACCAUGUUCAUAGUAUAUAAUCAUAAGUCUUUCAAAGAACGUAAAUUUGAUAAAGCAUGAUAUUUCAUAAAGCAUAAGUCCAAUUUAUUCGUAAACGUUUCAUAAAACGUAGUUAUAAAAUCAUGCUUUUCAUGUAUGCAUUUCUAGUAAUAAAAAUCAUGCAUUUUGGAAGGGGUCCGCUCAUAGAUACUUUGCCAUCGAAGAGUCGUGCAACUAGCGAAGACAGAAACGCCAUAAACAAAUGCACCUAAGUACAUAAAGGUACAAAUUAAUAAAAAUAUACUAAAAGGAUUAAAUUUGGGAAAACCGAUUCCUAAAAUUGGGCUUUUGAAUAUAUCAUAUUUGGAAUCAGGAUGUCGAAAUUAGUUUAGGAAGGGUCCAAGCCGAAAUCCGAAAAAGUCAACAAAAGUCAAAGGUCAACUGUCAACGGGUCGGGUCAAUGGUCAACAGGUUGGAUCCGAGUUUGGGCUUUGGGUUUCUACAUUCUGGGUUGGGUCGAUUCUCAUUUAGGUUUGGGCCAAAGGCUUAGGUUGGGCCAGGUCACUACGACUGGGCUUGGGUUCUAUGGGUUUGGGCUGCAAGGUUGGGCCUGGGGUAAUUGCGUCUUGGCUAAGAGUUUGGGCCAGGUUCCAUGGCUUAAAGUUUUGGGCUGGCCUAGGAUUAUGGAUCGGGUUUAACCCAUUUUAGGCUGGGUUGGCCGGUUUUGAAGAAGAAGAAAACUAGAGCUUUCCAAGCUCCAUUCGACCAAAAAACUUAAUCAAAAUACGUCAUGCAAUAUACCAAAUUGAAGCCCAAGGAAUGAGGAUUUGAGACGUACCAAUAGUUUCCUCAGUUGUGGCCGGAGUUGGCCAGAAAAAUGAUAUGAAACCCACGGUUCUUGCCAGGAAAUUGGGGAAAGUCUUCCCGAGUUAAUCUCUGCAACUAACGAGUGAAACCACUUAAAAAAUACAUUACUCUAACCCCAAAACACAACCUAAGAGGUUCUAGGACUUACCUAAGUCGAGGGUUCCCCGGAAAGGGAACUGCACAGUGGUGCAACCACGAUGCACGUGAUAUGGGUGUCCUUUCAUUCCAGGCUUUGUGGAACUCUCAUGGAGGGGAGAGAGUGAUGGUGGUUACGCGUGCAUGAGUGAACUCAAAGAGGAGGGAGGGUUUUGCAGAGAAGAGAGAGUGUUCAGGGAGUUUAAGAGAGAAUGAGAUAAAGUGAGGAUAGAAGAGAGUGGUCCGAAAGUUUCACACGGGAAUGAGGAAGGAGAAAGGAGAGUGGGCCCCACAUGACACAUAAUUUAAGACCCAAAUAGUAACCAUUUCAAAAUAUAUUUCAACCCAAAGUGGAAUUACAAAAAUGCCCUUCCAUUCUGUAAAUUCCGGGACGGGUGGUUACAUCUUAAGUUUGAAUCUCAUAGAUUACAAGUUCAAUAUAAAUUUAUUCCUCCACCCUUUAGUGUAAUUGUGCAAGUAUAUAGUUGUAUAAAAGAAGUUGAUUAUGUCUACUAUCUUCUAUUUAACUAAUUUUUCUUUUGUCAUAGUCUCAUUUAAUAUAUGCUCAUAUUAACAUUUUAUCUCUUACUAAUCUGCCAUGAAAGCAUUUUUCUUGUUAAUAAAUAGGUUACUUUUGGAAGAACAAAUGCUAAUCUUACCAUAUUUAUAUUUGUACCAUCUCUUUAAUACAGGGGAACCCACUUGUAUUGGUGGGCACUACCUUUAUUAUGGAGGUGAUAAAAUGUAAUAAAUGUAACAUUAUUUUUGGAAGAAAUGUAAUGAAUUAGAUGGAUAUAAUCUUUUUUUUUUCAUUGAAAAUGGAAAGAAAUUUUCUUUAUUGAAAUUCCUAUAUGCAAGAGUUUUUAUUUUUUAUUUUAGUUUUUUAGAACAAAUGAUAUUAUCUACACUAAAAAAAGAGGUUGGCUUAGCCUCACAAUGGAUUAGUGUGGUUUAAACUCGCCUUUAACGAGAAUCGAACCUAAGACCUCUCACUUACAAGUGAAGAUGAAUACUACUAGACCGUGGUACUAAGUGGCUUUUUUUUUUUUUUUUUUUUUUUUUUUUUUUUUUUUGCAAUGAUGGAUGACGCCAGGCAGACGUGCCCUUGGCCUAAUGGCUUCGAGUACAAUUUCAAAGGCUCGAUGGUUCACAAAAUUCUGGCCUGACAACCAAAUAGAAGAACAGAAGAAAAUCAUUGCGUCGCCUAGGCGCUAGGCGGCUGGCCACCGUCCCGAUUAAUGCCUAGGUGUUUGAAAAUUAAGAAAUGACGCCUAAACCUACUAAGGUGCCUACCUAGACUACCUAAGGCGCCUACCUAGAUUGCCUAGGCACAGCCUAGCUCGCCCAGACUCGCCUAGGUUGCAACUAACCUAGACAAAAAAUAGAUAACUUUCAUUUUGCAUUUUAUCUUUUUCAAUAAAUUGUAAAAGACUUGUUGAAUAGUUAAAUACACACAUUAUAUGCUUAUUCCCCAUGUUUUCAUGAUGUUCCAAUAUUCCAUAAUGUAUAUGUCAUUCUAUUUUGGUAUAAAUAGACACUUAUUUAUACGAAAUAUAAUAGAUUUACUUUAAUCUGCUUAGGUGCUAAACCCCAACUCGCCGCCCGACAAGCGUCUAGCGUCUUUUAGAAUCUUGGUUGUAGGGUUAUAUGAUGAAAAAACAAGGUCUUUUUUUAUUUUAUGUAAAAACGACGUCGUUUUUUUUUUACUUCGGUUCAGUUUGGUUUUCAUGGGAUCAAGAUUGAAAAAUACAUCCAUGGGAUCAAUUUGAUACGUGACUAAGAUUGAAAUUAUAAUUGCAUAACAAUUUAACAACCUACCACCAAAAUACCACACUAAUUAAUUAAAAACUCUCUAGUAACUAAACCCAGCAUAAUACAUUGCUUUGAAAAGAAAACUACAGCAUCUGCAAAACUUCAUAUAUCUUAAUCAAAGUUUGCACCAGCUGCCUGCUUAUUUCUGCUACAUUAAUUAAUAACUGAGAAACAAAAAAAGAUACCCAAAUACUGAAAAACCAAGCUUUUUUCAGAUACCAGUAAUUAUUCAUACAAACCUAAAACUUUAAACCGCAUAGUUAAUGAGGAAGAGAAAUUCGCAGUUGAUCAGUAAAAUGCCAAAGGAUUGAAAUUGCCCUGUGCAGGAGAAAUAUUAACAGACCCUUUGAGAAAGAGGCUGCUGCAGAACAAGCUCCAUUUCUCCCAUUACAGAAAACCGGUACGUAGCCACCUGGCUCACCUCCCACCAUUGACCUAAACUCAUCCAAAGCUGCAUAUGGAGUGGACUAGCAUGGUGGGGGUGGCCUAGAAUUCUAGGGCACUUGGGUGCCAAACCUGAAGUAUUUCACACUAUCUAUACCUAAUAUAUGUUGCUGUGGUUGUGAAAGAGGAUGAGAGAAGAGGGUCUCCAUUUAUAUGCAUAGAGAGAGAGAGAGAGAG